rnacentral:lncRNA from 10 species
AGACUUGUCUUUGGACAAAAUUGAGAAGAACUCAUAAACUUGGCUUCCUCGCUUCUGCUCCUCAGACGCGCGUGGAUGAUUUGAAGAUAUUAGCCUAACAAGAUGGAAGCAGGUUUAAAAUUUUACAUAAGAAGUUACCUUUUUCAGUUGUGUUGAUGUUCCUUUCAGCUGGUCCUAUAGUACCCCUCCUCAGGAAUGUCUCCCCAGUGCAAGGACAAAGACUGAAGAGACUGCUAUAUUGAUGGACUCUCAAGCCAACUAUGAAGUUGAAACAAAGAAAGUGAUCACCUGAAGACACCUCCUCUGCUAAGAAACACCCCCAAAUUGUGCAGCUUCUGCCACUAGAACUCUCAGAACAAGAGACAAUCUUUUCAAGAAACAGAAAAACUCAAUAAUGACAUCUAGAUUUUCAUGAGCCAAGAACUUUCCCUUCCUCAUGUGUAUUCCUCUGUUUGUACUUAAAUUCAUGUGACAUUCAUUUUUUUCCUAGUAUGGAUAUGCUUAUUAAUGCACUUGUUUCAAAAUCCCAAAUUGCACAAAUGUGUUAAUAUUUUAAGAAACAAAAUGAAUCCUACAAGGAGAAUGAUUUUUAGCCACACAUAGGGUUGGAUCUUGAGAGUGACCUACAGAAUAAAAGUACUUUUAAAAUAAAGUAGUCAGAGGCUAUUCAAAGGGUAAAAUAAUCAUAGUACCACAUUGGUCCACUUGACACUAACCAAUCGAUCAUUUUUUUUUAAUCAAGAAAGCUAGAUUCUAUCAGAUAAAAUCACUGCUUCUAAAGAGUUUAAAUCUAGUUAGAAAAAGUUAUAGAAAUGUUUGCAAAGAUAAGUAACAGAUAGAGUCAGUAGAGGAUAAGAUCAAAAACAAAACCAAGCAAAAGAUGAGUUCAGGGGAGUUUGCCAUCAAGUUGGCAAAACUGACUUACUUAGGGAAGAAAGUUAUAAAACAGGAAAAUAUGAGAUGAACCUUGAGUGAUGUGGAAGAUUUAGAUAAAUGGAAAGGAAGGAGAAAAUGGAGUUCACUAUCAGUAGCUUUUGCACUGGUCUGCCCUUCCUAAAUUAAGUAUGCACUUCAAUUUGAUGAGUGGAAACAGUCUAUCUGGGCAGUAACCAGGGAGCUUUGUGCCUAGUAGAUUGCUUCUGUUCUGCACUUCUUUGGUUUCCCACCUCAAUGUAAAAAAUAGCUAGCAAUGAAGUCCAGAAGUUGUCAAUGGUUCAUCCCCAGAAGAAUGCAUAAUGUCCAAAGUUGUAUGUGUAUGAUGUCUUCAAUGGUAUUAAGUUAUUUCAAAUUCUUAGUUCACCUACAUAAAUCAUUUCUAACAAGCAUCUUCUUAACCAACUUUAUGCACAGUGUAUGUUUGUAAGUGCUUCUGCACGAAUGUUUAUACAUGACUGUUUCCAUAGUACUUAUGUUUUUAAAAAUAUUCAGUCAUUUCCUACUAUAAUCCUCAUGUAUCCAUGUAACUGACUCAAAAAUACUUCAGCCACAGAAAGCUAAAACUGAGCAAAUCUCAUUCUUCUUUUCCAUCCCCUUUGCAUGUGGCUGGCAUUUAGUAAUGAUUAAUAAUAUGGCCAGCUGAAUAACAGAGGUUUGAGACACAAUUCUUUCUCAAAGGAGUCAGCUAAGCUGGGUCUACUUAUGGACAAACAUCUAAAUGUGUGGAAGUAUCUGAUAUUUGACAAUGGUAAAUUUCCACUUAGCUAGCUAGCAUUGUCAGACUUCAAUCUCCUCAUGGCUCUGGCCGUCCUGUUUUAAGCAUGAUAAUUGUUGGCCACAUCUCACAUAGUUCUCAUUGAGUGAGUUCAUAAAUAAACAGGGUUUUUUUUUUUUUUUAAAGAGCAGCCAAGCACAAAGUGUGACUUUGUUGACAUUUUAUGUGACUUUGUCAUAUGUUCCUAACCCCCAAUAAAAGCAAUGUUGCAUCAACUGUG